UCAGUUCAGGAAUAUAAGCAAAACAUUGGAGACAAUCCGGGAAAAUCAAUGAGGUCAAUUGCAAAAAUAUGUCAUGUGUCAGAAUAAACAAUCAGAAAUGUUGUGCAUGAAAUCUUACGUCAUGAUGAGAGGUAAAUUCAUGUGAGAAAGAAAAAAAAAACAAAAGAAAACCGUGUAAUCAGAUACAAAAGAUCUUUGAACAAACUUAAAAGUCCAUCAGAAGAUGGUGUGAUUUGGUUUUUCUCAGAUGAGAAAAAUUUUGUCAGGACAAAAAAACUUACAUGAGAAAUGAUAGAUGGCUAUGUGCAGACCCUUCUGAGGUUCCAAGUGUAAUGCACGCAAAAUUUCCUGUAAGUGUCAUGGUUUAGAGUUUUGCUAGCAAUGAAGGACAUGUGAUGUCUCCUCACUUUUUUUAACAAGGCCUUAGAGUGAAUGCUGCUGCGUAUAUUGAGGUUCUGGAUAAAUUUCUUAAGCCUUGCAUCAACUGUGUAUGAAAUGGAAUGCACCAUCACACAAGGUUCAAAUGACACAAGAAUGGAUGACCGACAAUUUGCAUGAUUACAUCACCCCAAAAAUUUGGCUUCUUAAUUCUCAAGAUCUAAUUCCAUUAGACUACUAUGUAAGUAGCAACAUGGAGGAAAAUGUCAAUGAACACCCCCAUAGCACCAAAGAUUUUUUGAAAUUCGUCAUAGUUCGAGUCAUGUGCGAUAUGAACAAAGACACUUAAUCCGAGCUUGUAAAAGAUUUCGACUCGCGUAGAGGUCGUUAUUGAUGUUUAUGGUGUUUUUUAUGGAAUGAAAUUAUCAAAUUGAUAAUUUUGUUUUAUGUUUAUAUUACUUUUAUAAAAAAUACAGUUUUUUCUAUUAUAUAAGACCUUUUUUAACCAUAAAUCUGUCCUCAAAUACCGCCCGCAAACUGUAUGUGUGUAUAUAUAUAUGUACAGCAGUUGUAUACAGUCUACUUAAUGUGACAGUCAUAUGAAGGGAAUAAAACUACUGCUAUUUAGCCCUAGGACGCAGCAACGCUUCCUGUCGGCCUUGAUACAUUUCCUGUCCUUAUGUUUACAAGGGGGAGAUAAGCACCUCCACACCCAGCUAAGCCUGCAACUAGUGACUAGUUUCUGAGUCUUUGCUCGUCAUCAGUCUGGAGUAGUAUUGCCUGCUAGUUGGAGAUGCCUAUCUAGCUCUUGUAAACAUUCAUUGAUUUCAAAAAUUGAAAUAAUACUAUUAUUUCUAUACACACACACACACACACACACACACACACACACACACACACACUCACACAUAUAUAUCACGUGACCGACCAGACUAUCAGAUGUUGUUACACAUUGCUAAUUGCAAUGCACUUUGCAUUGUUCAACUUUCGAAUGACAGCCUCCCCAGUGGUUAGGCGUGCAGGCUAGCAUUCACCACUACAUGCCAGAUUAAAAGUGGGGAAGGAGCAACGUUUAAUGUGGUAUUUUCCUUAAGAACACUACGCGCCACCCAAUCUGGUAAUGGAACCCACGAUUUAAAGAUCGUGUGUGCAGCACCGUAACCACUAGGCCACUCACCUUUACAUACACACCAGCGCGCACAUAACGCACACACACACAUAUAUCUAUAAGACCCUCUCCUCCUUUGUCACUAUGAUUCUGUCUCAAUGUGUAACGCUCACAUUCAUUGCCAGCCACCGAGCCAAGUAUGCACAUUCAUGCUGCACUAAUUAUAUCAACUCUCUCUGUAUUCCUCUUUCUCCAUCUGUCUCCCUUUUCUCGGUAUACGAUAUAAUGCAUGUCUGGAAAAAUCUACCAACCAACCAGUCAGCUACCAAAUCAACCAAACCAAGCAAACGAAGCAAGCAAGCAACGAGACAAACUUUUCAUUAUCGGUUAUCAUUAUAUAGGGGCUUUGAGUAAUAGUAAAUGUUUUAAAAUUUACAAAUGUUUAAAAACAUUUGCUGUGUGCGACAGAGUAACUUCCGUUAAUGAGUCUGUAGAAGUUGAAAAGAAACUGCAUGGCAAAUUAGCUGAAGAAACUAGACAACAUUUAUAACUAUGAAGAAUUAUUGUAUUCCACUUAGUUUACCAGUAUUUGCAAAUAAGAGCUGCCGUUGUGUGGACAUGAAAGAAAACACAGCUUUAGCAGAGUUAAUUAUUGUGAGCUAUUUGAUUGUUUGGCUGAAACAUAAAGUGACUUUACAUUAAGAAUCUCUACGAAAGAAGGAUCAAAGAACUUUUAAGAGUUCAAAGUAUUAUGCAAAAUAACCUUAUAUCUGCCUUUAAUAGUGUAAUAGCUGUCGUGUUAUCAAAUGAAGCUGAAAGCGUGGACGAAAGUACGAAAUGUACAAUGCAUGUCCAACUCCUUGUUAUUGUGAAGUAUGUAAAAGAAUGCAAAGCAAAUUAAAGAUGUUUAGGAUGUUAUGACGUCAGUAGUGGUAUAAGAAACUCGUACUUGCCUGAUUUAAUGGCAAAUGUCUUGAAAUUCCUUUGGAGAUUUUUAAGCUGAAACGGUUAGGUGAAUGAACGAUGUAACAGUUGUAAAGGUAGGCAAAUGAACUGGGUUUCCAACGAAGGUGGAAAGAAAAGGUUUUAAUGCAAUGGCUUUGUAAUCAAAGCGCGAAAGUGUCUCUAAUAUACAAUAAAAUGUGAAAUGCGGAUAAAUUGAAAUUUAAUUGACAUACAUAUAUACAUACAUAUUAUAUAUAAGUGCAUGGAUAUUGUAUACAAAUAUAUAUACACUCACAUACAUUCAUACAUGUAUACAUACACAUAUUUACAUAUAUUUUAGAAAAAUAUAUUGACUUAUAUAUAUAUCAAUAUAUAAAUAUAUACUCAUAUGCAAAAACGUGCUCUACUGAAGAUUAUUGAAUAAUCGAUUGUUAUAUAAAAUCAUUUGAUAUCUAUCUAUCUACUUAUUUACUUAUCUUUCUAUAUUUCUAUCUAUCUAUCUAUCUAUCUAUCUAUCUAUCUAUCUAUCUAUCUAUCUAUCUAUCUAUCUAUCUAUCUAUCUAUCUAUCUAUCUAUCUAUGUAUCUAUCUAUCUAUCUAUGUAUGUAUGUAUCUAUCUAUCUAUCUAUCUAUCUAUCUAUCUAUCUAUGUAUCUAUCUAUCUAUCUAUCUAUCUAUUUAUUCAUUUAACUAUCUAUUAAUGCACACAUACAAACACACACACGCACACAUACACGCAUAUGCAUACAUAUGCAUGUAUGUAUUAAUAUAUUUAAGUAUAUAUAUGUAUAAGAAAUUAUAUACGUUUAGAGAGAGAAAGAGGGAUGGAUAAACAGCCAGACAGCCAAAUAGUCAUAUACAUAAUUAGAUAGAGAAAGGAAAAAGGGAAGAGAGAGAAAGAGAAAAGAGAAAGAGAUAGAGACUCGUUAAAAAUGAUAACGAAAGAAUAAAACCUUAUUGAAUAUCGUAAAGUAGAAUAAUUAUUUUCUUUUAUUUGCUCGACUAAAACCAAAGCCAACUGCCUGUAUAUGGUAACAUCCGAAAUUACCUACUUCAUCGGAACUCCAUUUAUGGGGUUAUAUGUGUAUAUACACAUAUCUAUGUGUGUGUGUAUGUAUGUGUAUGCGUGCGUGUGUGUGUAUGUGUGAUGGAUAGAUAGAUACAGAGAGAGAGAAAGGGAGGGGGGCUUAAUGGUUUGGAUUUUCGCAAGGUCACGAGUUUUGUUUCAGGCGGUGCGUUGUGUCGUUCAGCAAGACACUUUAUUUGACGUUGCUCCUGUUUAUUCAGCUCGUAAAAAUGAGUAGUAUCUGUAUUUCAAAAGGGCCAGCUAUGUCGCAUUCUGUGUCACACUGAAUCUACCAGUGAACUAUGUUAAAUGUACGCUACAUAUACUCUUUUACUCUUUUACUUGUUUCAGUCACUUGACCGCGGCCAUGCUGGAGCACCGCCUUUAGUCGAGCAAAUCGACCCCAGGACUUAUUCUUUGUAAGCCUAGUACUUAUUUUAUCGGUCUCUUUUGCCGAACUGCUAAGUGACGGGGACAUAAACACACCAGCAUCGGUUGUCAAGCAAUGCUAGGGGGACAAACACACACACACAAACAGACACACACAUACACAUACAUAUAUAUAUACAUAUAUACGACAGGCUUCUUUCAGUUUCAUUCUACCAAAUCCACUCACAAGGCAUUGGUUGGCCCGGGGCUUUAGCAGAGGACACUUGCCCAAGAUGCCACGCAGUGGGACUGAACCCGGAACCAUGUGGUUGGUUAGCAAGCUACUUACCACACAGCCAUGUUGGCGAUAUUUUUCCUCUGUCUUCCCUUCUCUGGAUCUUUCGUUCUCCUAUGUUUCCGACGAAGAGCUCCGCUCGAAACGUUAAACCCUCCUUCUUUCCUUCUUUCUUGAGUGUCCAAUAAUACUAUAUUUGUUCCACGUCCUCGCGUUGCUGUGUUUUUUUUGUGCUUUCUUGUUUGGAUUAACUAUAUAUAUAUAUAUAUAUAUAUAUAUAUAUGGAAUUUGAGCUUAGAAUGGAAAGACGGACGGAAUGCAACAUUCUUCCCGGCAUGCUAACGAUUCUGCCAUCUCGCUGCCUUCACUUUUUCUUUAAUUAUUAAUUGCAAGCCUUCAGGUUGGGUCUCAGUUUCAUCAAUUCUAAUGGUCUGGGAGUAAUGCAUGCACAGGUCAGAGGCACAACCCUUCCUCUUAAGAGUAACUUAUAAACCGGAAAUACCAUAAAACCAUUCUAAGAGAGUUUUGAACGGACAAUCCUAUAGCAUCUAGUUUAUUUAGCACCUAGUAUCAGGCACUCAGUUAUAUUGAUUUUAGCUGAUGAAACGUUUGGAACGAAUAAUUCAUACAGUUCUUUAUUUUAGGUUGAAAGAAAAAUAUAAUUCUAACUUCGUAUGAAAACACAAAACACACAACCACUCAAGGCUAUCACAAUUGUGUGGUUAAUGAGCAAAUGUAUAGAAUGAUAAUUAAUUUUAAUAAGUUUAAUUAAUUUUAUGAAAUUUAAAGAACUUUUGCAACAUAGACAAAAAUACAUAUGAGAUAAAUAUAAUAAGCAAGC
rnacentral:lncRNA from 1 species